AAUGACGGUACCUGACUAAGAAGCCCCGGCUAACUACGUGCCAGCAGCCGCGGUAAUACGUAGGGGGCAAGCGUUAUCCGGAUUUACUGGGUGUAAAGGGAGCGUAGACGGCUGUGCAAGUCUGAAGUGAAAGGCAUGGGCUCAACCUGUGGACUGCUUUGGAAACUGUGCAGCUAGAGUGUCGGAGAGGUAAGUGGAAUUCCUAGUGUAGCGGUGAAAUGCGUAGAUAUUAGGAGGAACACCGGAGGCGAAGGCGGCUCACUGGACUGUAACUGACACUGAGGCUCGAAAGCGUGGGGAGCAAACAGGAUUAGAUACCCUGGUAGUCCACGCCGUAAACGAUGACUGCUAGGUGUCGGGUGGCAAAGCCAUUCGGUGCCGCAGCU
rnacentral:rRNA from 1 species